AGACCCGAAACCCGGUGAUCUAGCCAUGGGCAGGUUGAAGGUUGGGUAACACUAACUGGAGGACCGAACCGACUAAUGUUGAAAAAUUAGCGGAUGACCUGUGGCUGGGGGUGAAAGGCCAAUCAAACCGGGAGAUAGCUGGUUCUCCCCGAAAGCUAUUUAGGUAGCGCCUCGUGAACUCAUCUCCGGGGGUAGAGCACUGUUUCGGCUAGGGGGCCAUCCCGGCUUACCAACCCGAUGCAAACUGCGAAUACCGGAGAAUGUUAUCACGGGAGACACACGGCGGGUGCUAACGUCCGUCGUGAAGAGGGAAACAACCCAGACCGCCAGCUAAGGUCCCAAAGUCAUGGUUAAGUGGGAAACGAUGUGGGAAGGCCCAGACAGCCAGGAUGUUGGCUUAGAAGCAGCCAUCAUUUAAAGAAAGCGUAAUAGCUCACUGGUCGAGUCGGCCUGCGCGGAAGAUGUAACGGGGCUAAACCAUGCACCGAAGCUGCGGCAGCGACGCUGAUGCGUUGUUGGGUAGGGGAGCGUUCUGUAAGCCUGCGAAGGUGGCCUGUGAGGGUUGCUGGAGGUAUCAGAAGUGCGAAUGCUGACAUAAGUAACGAUAAAGCGGGUGAAAAGCCCGCUCGCCGGAAGACCAAGGGUUCCUGUCCAACGUUAAUCGGGGCAGGGUGAGUCGACCCCUAAGGCGAGGCCGAAAGGCGUAGUCGAUGGGAAACGGGUUAAUAUUCCCGUACUUGGUGUUACUGCGAAGGGGGGACGGAGAAGGCUAUGUUGGCCGGGCGACGGUUGUCCCGGUUUAAGCGUGUAGGUGUGUGUUCCAGGUAAAUCCGGUUCACUUUAACACUGAGGCGUGAUGACGAGGCACUACGGUGCUGAAGCAACAAAUGCCCUGCUUCCAGGAAAAGCCUCUAAGCAUCAGGUAACAUCAAAUCGUACCCCAAACCGACACAGGUGGUCAGGUAGAGAAUACCAAGGCGCUUGAGAGAACUCGGGUGAAGGAACUAGGCAAAAUGGUGCCGUAACUUCGGGAGAAGGCACGCUGACAC
rnacentral:rRNA from 1 species